AGCUCCAAUAGCGUAUAUUAAAGUUGUUGUGGUUAAAAAGCUCGUAGUUGAACCUUGGGCCUGGCUGGCCGGUCCGCCUCACCGCGUGUACUGGUCCGGCCGGGCCUUUCCCUCUGUGGAACCUCAUGCCCUUCACUGGGUGUGACGGGGAAACAGGACUUUUACUUUGAAAAAAUUAGAGUGCUCCAGGCAGGCCUAUGCUCGAAUACAUUAGCAUGGAAUAAUAAAAUAGGACGUGUGGUUCUAUUUUGUUGGUUUCUAGGACCGCCGUAAUGAUUAAUAGGGACAGUCGGGGGCAUCAGUAUUCAAUUGUCAGAGGUGAAAUUCUUGGAUUUAUUGAAGACUAACUACUGCGAAAGCAUUUGCCAAGGAUGUUUUCA
rnacentral:rRNA from 1 species